rnacentral:misc_RNA from 1 species
GAUGAAGAACGUAGCGAAAUGCGAUAAGUAAUGCGAAUUGCAGAAUUUCCGUGAGUCAUCGAAUCUUUGAACGCACAUUGCGCCCUCUGGUAUUCCGGGGGGCAUGCCUGUCCGAGCGUCAUUACAACCUUCAAGCACGGCUUGGCUGUUGAGCGGUCUGUUUUGAUGAACAGGGCUCGAAAUGCAGUGGCGACGGCGAGAUUGGUGCCCGAGCGUAUGGGGCUCUGUCACACGCUCUGGUGGCUCCACUCACAGUCUGCCAUACACAAAUCAAAUCUGAUUGACCUCGGAUCAGGUAGGAACACCCGCUGAACUUAAGCAUAUCAAUAAGCGGAGGA